rnacentral:lncRNA from 1 species
CGCAGAGGCACCUUAGGAAGAGCGAGAGCGUAAAAAUGGAAAAGCGUGAGAGAUUUGUGUUGGAGGUGUUGUAACCACCAGUCGUUUCUGGCGCUGUGGUGGUAUGCGUAUCUGGGACAUUAAGGAGAGUUCAAUAGAGAGUAGAUCUUAAGCUUAAAGACAGCAGGGGUGAAGCAGAUCUGAGCCAUUGGUAAUAAAAUCAUGGAAGAAGAAGCCAGUUACGAGAUGGACACCUUUAAAGAAUACAAGUUAGCAGUCCUACCUUUCGCUUCGUGUGCAAGAAUCAAUGGAAGCUAAAAAUCAAGAAGCCCUUUAUCAUGAAUCACAACUAUUUUUUUCGCAACUGGAGAUCGCUAAACUGAAUCUGAU